rnacentral:rRNA from 1 species
CAGUCGAGCGAACAGACGAGGAGCUUGCUCCUCUGACGUUAGCGGCGGACGGGUGAGUAACACGUGGAUAACCUACCUAUAAGACUGGGAUAACUUCGGGAAACCGGAGCUAAUACCGGAUAAUAUAUUGAACCGCAUGGUUCAAUAGUGAAAGACGGUUUUGCUGUCACUUAUAGAUGGAUCCGCGCCGCAUUAGCUAGUUGGUAAGGUAACGGCUUACCAAGGCAACGAUGCGUAGCCGACCUGAGAGGGUGAUCGGCCACACUGGAACUGAGACACGGUCCAGACUCCUACGGGAGGCAGCAGUAGGGAAUCUUCCGCAAUGGGCGAAAGCCUGACGGAGCAACGCCGCGUGAGUGAUGAAGGUCUUCGGAUCGUAAAACUCUGUUAUUAGGGAAGAACAAAUGUGUAAGUAACUAUGCACGUCUUGACGGUACCUAAUCAGAAAGCCACGGCUAACUACGUGCCAGCAGCCGCGGUAAUACGUAGGUGGCAAGCGUUAUCCGGAAUUAUUGGGCGUAAAGCGCGCGUAGGCGGUUUUUUAAGUCUGAUGUGAAAGCCCACGGCUCAACCGUGGAGGGUCAUUGGAAACUGGAAAACUUGAGUGCAGAAGAGGAAAGUGGAAUUCCAUGUGUAGCGGUGAAAUGCGCAGAGAUAUGGAGGAACACCAGUGGCGAAGGCGACUUUCUGGUCUGUAACUGACGCUGAUGUGCGAAAGCGUGGGGAUCAAACAGGAUUAGAUACCCUGGUAGUCCACGCCGUAAACGAUGAGUGCUAAGUGUUAGGGGGUUUCCGCCCCUUAGUGCUGCAGCUAACGCAUUAAGCACUCCGCCUGGGGAGUACGACCGCAAGGUUGAAACUCAAAGGAAUUGACGGGGACCCGCACAAGCGGUGGAGCAUGUGGUUUAAUUCGAAGCAACGCGAAGAACCUUACCAAAUCUUGACAUCCUCUGACCCCUCUAGAGAUAGAGUUUUCCCCUUCGGGGGACAGAGUGACAGGUGGUGCAUGGUUGUCGUCAGCUCGUGUCGUGAGAUGUUGGGUUAAGUCCCGCAACGAGCGCAACCCUUAAGCUUAGUUGCCAUCAUUAAGUUGGGCACUCUAAGUUGACUGCCGGUGACAAACCGGAGGAAGGUGGGGAUGACGUCAAAUCAUCAUGCCCCUUAUGAUUUGGGCUNMCC